UCCAGCAGUUUGACGCUGCAUAUGGAAUUCUGCUGUGACGGUUUUUCUGCUGCCAACAUGAGAAAGCAGCUUAAUGUCAACUGGAUGUCCACUGGUGAGCUAGAAACAAGUACAGGACAAAA